GGAAGAGCCUGGGGUGGCCCACACCUCAUGCCUGUGCUCCUCUCUGGGGAUGGGGACACGUGAAGGUGGGUGUUUGCUUUGCUUUCUCUGGAUUCUUUGAGUCUUUUAGGAUAAGACUGAAAUCAGCAUUUAAAUGUACUAUCUAUAGAUAUAGACUGUGGAUUAGGUAACUAUCAUUGUUAAAUAUCCUGGUUUUGACACCUGUACUUGGCUAUAUGAGAAAAUGAACUCUUUACAGUAAAGAGGCAUAAUGCCUUCUUACUGUGACAUAAUUCAGGUAAAAAAUACAUGCACACAUGUAUGCAUAUGAGAUACAGAAUACAUAUGUACACACACUCUGAUCAUAUAUAUUCUCUCUAUAUAAAUAUAGAUAAACAGAAUGAAAAUGAUAACGUGAAUGAGGAACAUGUAAACAAAACCUGGGUAAGGGACAUAGGAGUAUUCCUUGUACUACUAACAACUUUAAGAUGAUAACAAAAUUACCAAAAAGUUGUGACAUUAAAGGAAUAGAAGCCAGCAGCAGCUCGUGAAGGCCUCCUAUUUCUGGCCUGGCCAUCCACUCCCCGCUGCAGCCUGCAAAGUGACUUCAGAACACUGUCCCAGCACAAAGGACACACAGACUUUUUUCCUGUAGGCUGCAGGACUUCUGUUCCUGGGACACCUACUUUGAGGAAUGGGGAGUCUGCCCUCGGCCCCCCCAGUCUGGUAUUCCCCUGCUGUCCUGUAGGUUUGUCACCAUGGGGGCCUUGCCCCCACCCUCCUGGACACCCAGUCUGGGUGAUCAGGGACUUUGAGCUCUGUCCUUUCCUGUCCCUUAGUCCUUCAAGCUUAUUUGGAGUUUUCUGUGUGACGUCAAAGCCCUAUGAAGCUGUCCUUUCUGACUGCGGAGCAGGUCAGGGCCUGUGUUGCCCACUUUGGUUGCCUAGCACCCAGGGGCAGCUCGUGGAUCUGUUCCUAGAGCUGGAUUCACUCUCUUGCUCCCCGUCCUUUGCAGACAUCUGCUGGCAACUCUGGGUCUCCAUCAUUCGCCCGUAAAAGAAUCUGGGUGGGGCACGGAUAGGCAGGCCCGCAGGCAGAGCUGAGACUGGAAGUAGGUUCUAGAACGUGGGGAGUUUGGUGUGAUGACGGCGGGAUCUCAAAUCCAUCGUGCAAAGCUGCCUAUCAAACAAAGUGUCGGGGUAGCAGGCUGAAUCUAGGAAGGCACGAAUCCAAACACUUUUCCCCGCACCUCCCGUUGAUACACUUCUGGAGGGGUCAAGACUUAAACAUAAAAACCCAAAGCAGAAGAAAUCUUCAAUGACUUAUAAAUCAUCUGAGUGGAACAGGCCUUUCUAAGCAUGACAAAAAACAAAACUAAAGAAGCUGAGUCAUUAUGUCUGCAUAAACAUUAGAAACUUGUGCAGGAAAAAAACAUGACAGUCCAAAGACAACAAAUUGGAAAGGGGGCGAGCGGCUGGGGGAGAGGACAAAUGAGAGAAGCCCCUCGUGUAUAAAAAUUCUCAUCAAACAGUAGGAAAAAAAUCAGUAACCCAAAAGAAAUGUGGGCAAAGACAAGAACAGGCAAUUCACAGGAAAGGAGUUUAGGUGACGGUAAGAGAGCCACCCUCCCCUUGCAGUAGAGAUAACUUUAAACAAGCACAUGCUGUUUGCAUUCUCGGGCAAAGACCAAAAAGUUUGGUGUUCCGCAGCGUUGCCAGAGAACGGGAACUCUCGGGCCUUCCAAGAACGUGGUCUUGACCUUCUCAAGUUAACUAGGGAGAACUUUGACCCUGAGAACUUAGCAAACAAUGAAACUAACGCAGCCUCACCCUGCUUCCUGCCUUCUGUGUGGAGUCUCCGUUAAUUUCUGUGUGACUUUCUCUCCCCACUCUGUUUCCCAAACUUGUGAAUUUUUUUCCUGUAAAUUAGGCUGAGAAGUAGAUCCAAGCUACCAGCUUCUUACCCAGUUCAUAAAGAUCGUUACUGGUAGAAAUGAACAAAAUUAAUUUGACAAUGGCUAAAACUGUACAUGGUAAAUGUCUUUACUGACACUGAUAGAAGCAUCAAAGGUUUUUUAACUUAGAUGUUAAAAAGUUGACCCCAGACAAUGGGAACUUGGUAGAAAAAAAAGGCUCAAAAUGGCGGGUGCUGUCAUUGGUAAAAUUUGAUAUAGCUUCAAGUUGAGUCGUGAGUUACACAUUUGUUACUAAAUCUUACAGAAAAUGGGGAGUUAGUGUUUAAUGGGUAGAGUGUCAGUUGGGGAAGCUGCAAAAAGCUCUGGAGAUGAAUGGUGGUGAUGGUUGCAUAGAAAUGUGAAUGUGCUUAAUGCCACUGAACUACACUUAAAAUGGAUAAAAUAGCAAAUUUUGUUACACAUGUUUUACCAUAUAUAAUUGAUAUAUAUGUAUGUAUAUAUCUCCCAAAGAAUGAUCUAGAAAAAAAACGGGGACAUUCCAAGUAUUUCAACUUAUCGUUACCACUUUUCAGUUACCAUAGAAACUCAAAGUAACCAAAGCCCAAAAUGUUGAGAUUGCUCUGCAUAUAUGAUGUUAUGAUGCAUAUGAACUUUAUGAUAAAUACCUGUGUUAUAGAUAUUACUCUUGUACAUGAUAGAGAUACAAGAAAUAAUAAUUAAAUCUUACGGAAAAGACCUAAGCA